GACGAACGCUGGCGGCGCGCCUAACACAUGCAAGUCGAACGGAGCGCACUGUGUGAAGCCCUUCGGGGUGGAACUUUGUGUUGCUUAGUGGCGAACGGGUGAGUAACACGUGAAUAACCUACCUCCGAGCGGGGGACAACAUUCGGAAACGGAUGCUAAUACCGCAUAAGACCACAGCCGGACAUCCGGCAGGGGCCAAAGCAGCAAUGCACUUGGAGAUGGAUUCGCGUCUGAUUAGCUAGAUGGUGGGGUAAAGGCUCACCAUGGCGACGAUCAGUAGCCGGACUGAGAGGUUGAACGGCCACAUUGGGACUGAGACACGGCCCAGACUCCUACGGGAGGCAGCAGUGGGGAAUAUUGCACAAUGGGCGAAAGCCUGAUGCAGCGACGCCGCGUGAGGGAAGAAGGUUUUCGGAUUGUAAACCUCUGUCUUCGGGGACGAUAAUGACGGUACCCGAGGAGGAAGCCACGGCUAACUACGUGCCAGCCGCCGCAGUAACAC
rnacentral:rRNA from 1 species